CCCGUGUGCCCCCCCCACCAGACCAGUUCCCAUAGGACUACUGUAGCAUAGCUAUAUGUUGUCCAUGCAGCUAACCUGUUCUCAGUUAAUCAGGAGCAAAUCUAAUAUCGUCCCUGUUAGAAAAGGAAGGUUGUCCAGCCCUCCCUGUAUGGAGUCUGUUCUGAUGAGGAAGGUUGUCCAGCCCUCCCUGUAUGGAGUCUGUUCUGAUGAGGAAGGUUGUCCAGUCCUCCCUGUAUGAAGUCUGUUCUGAUGAGGAAGGUUGUCCAGUCCUCCCUGUAUGAAGUCUGUUCUGAUGAGGAAGAUUGUCCAGUCCUCCCUGUAUGAAGUCUGUUCUGAUGAGGAAGGUUGUCCAGUCCUCCCUGUAUGAAGUCUGUUCUGAUGAGGAAGGUUGUCCAGUCCUCCCUGUAUGGAGUCUGUUCUGAUGAGGAAGGUUGUGCAGUCCUCCCUGUAUGGAGUCUGUUCUGAUGAGGAAGGUUGUGCAGUCCUCCCAGUAUGAAGUCUGUUCUGAUGAGGAAGGUUGUGCAGUCCUCCCUGUAUGGAGUCUGUUCUGAUGAGGAAGGUUGUCCAGUCCUCCCUGUAUGAAGUCUGUUCUGAUGAGGAAGGUUGUGCAGUCCUCCCUGUAUGAAGUCUGUUCUGAUGAGGAAGUUUGUCCAGUCCUCCCUGUAUGGAGUCUGUUCUGAUGAGGAAGGUUGUCCAGUCCUCCCUGUAUGAAGUCUGUUCUGAUGAGGAAGGUUGUCCAGUCCUCCCUGUAUGAAGUCUGUUCUGAUGAGGAAGGUUGUCCAGUCCUCCCUGUAUGAAGUCUGUUCUGAUGAGGAAGGUUGUCCAGUCCUCCCUGUAUGAAGUCUGUUCUGAUGAGGAAGGUUGUGCAGUCCUCCCUGUAUGAAGUCUGUUCUGAUGAGGAAGGUUGUCCAGUCCUCCCUGUAUGAAGUCUGUUCUGAUGAGGAAGGUUGUCCAGUCCUCCCAGUAUGAAGUCUGUUCUGAUGAGGAAGGUUGUCCAGUCCUCCCUGUAUGAAGUCUGUUCUGAUGAGGAAGGUUGUCCAGUCCUCCCUGUAUGAAGUCUGUUCUGAUGAG
rnacentral:lncRNA from 1 species